UAACACAUGCAAGUCGAAUGAAGUAGCACUACUUAGUGGCAGACGGGUGAGUAACAUGUAGGUAUAUGCCCUUUGGCCUGGAAUAGCACGAGGAAACUUGUGCUAAUACUGGAUAAGUCUUUACGGAGAAAGCUUUAUGCACCAUUGGAUGAGCCUGCACUUGAUUAGUUUGUUGGUGGGGUAAUGGCCUACCAAGACUGUGAGGAAUACCUGAUUUGAGAGGAUGAUCAGCCACAUUGGGACUGAGACACGGCCC
rnacentral:rRNA from 1 species